GGGAGCAGCGGUUGCGUCCAGCCCGGAGCCUGGUGCCGGAUCCCUGAUUGGGCUGGGACCGAGCGCCCGCGCACCCGCCUCCCCGUCCCGCCUCGUGAUUGGGCUGGGCCCGGGCUCGGGCUCGGGCUCGGGCUGGUUCCCGCGGCGCCGGGCCGGAGCAGCGGGAGCGGCUGGCCGCCCUCGCCGCGCCGGCCCCAGCGAGCAGCGGGCCGGUGGCCGUGUGGGCACGGACCGCAGCCGGAACCGGACCGGCCCCACCCGACCCGCUCGCCGCCCUCUAAAGUCUGAGCAACUUCGGCGCUGGGGACGAGGGCGUCCUGCAGCUCCGGCUCCGGGCUGCAGCAGAUGGCCGAGCGGCAGAGCCUGUUCCCAGCACAGCGAUACCCCGAGCCCACUGGCGACACCUGCGACCCGGGGAAGGGAAACCGAAAUGUAUCAUCUGAAAUGAGGCUUCGCGUGUCUGGCUACGAGCAUAGCGCCGAAUACAGCUACGCUGCUGUUACCGUUCUUAUUCAUGCGAUGUGUGGGCUGGAUGAAUUCCGUUAAUCUGAAUGGUUAUAUCCUUUUAUGAUAUAACCUUUUAUGUCUGUAGUGCUGACACAGAAGUGCACAAAAGGGAUGGCUUCCUAGUUGUUUGACAAAACCAGAAGCUCACUGAAGAGGAUGUGGAAUGAUCAAAAAUAAUGCUCUCCAGGCCUGUUUUUCCACAUCUUCAUAAGAAUAAGACUUUCCCAACAGUUGAUGGUCAACCCCAUGAUCAGCUGAAAUAUUUGAGUGACUCAAGAGAGAUAUUGAUAGUGACAUGUGCUAUAUUUCCAUUUUCAUGGUCUACUCACAGCUUCUAACACAGGAGCUGAAAAUUGUCACUGGAAGACUAUUUCUGGACUUGGUCAACGGAAUGGUUAAGAUCCUCUCUGAAGAAGGUGAAGAAGGUGAAGA